UAUAAUACACAUCUGAAAGUUAUAUAAUGUUAUAAUCCAAUGUUACUGCUAUAAAAAUGAAAAUUUAAAUUAAAAAAAGGAUGUCUCGAUUAAUCAAACCACCUAAAAUUCUUGUUAUAUAAUUAAUGAUGAAAUCAAAUUAACUCAUUUAUUCACUCAACAUGUUGAACAUGAUGCUAAGCACAGAGAUAUAUGGGUAAUGAAAACAAUUUCCUAUGCUUGAGUUGUCCACAACUAGAGGAACAAAUUCUCUAGAUUUCAGUAAGUACAAUUUGAUAAGACUUGUGCUACAAGGACUUUACUGCUGAGUUGCAUUUGUGAGUAUCCAAAGCUUUUCAUACCCCCAUUUAAACCUUAUGUUAACCUGGAGAGGUUUAUUGUAUCAUAGGUUUUAUAGAUGAGCCUAUAAACCCAAGGAUUAGCUCUAUAUUUAAAUACAGUUCAAAUAAAAAUGGUCUUCCUGUUGUGUAGACCACAGGUUUUAGAGAGGGUGAGUCAUGGAUUUAUGGAAAUUAAAACAUUUAAUCAAGGUUCCUAGGUAUCUUAGUGCCAGGAAUGACACUAGAAACUUAGUUUUCUGCUUGGUCCUAGGUGUUUUUCUACUAUCCCAUAAUCCUCCUUGUUAAUUUUUGAAUGGCAUUCUGGGUCACAAAAUAUUGGCCAAAGGAUCUUUCAAAAACUUUAGUUUAUAAAUACUGAAAUUAGGGAGUUUAUUUAAAUAUUAUACUUCAGAUGAGAAAUAAUAGCUGCUAGCUUUGCAGCUAAUCUCAUUUCUUGUAUUUUCUUUAAGAAAAUAUAUUGUACCAUAUUAUUCUGGUGGAAUAGAUUUUGUUUUGAGAAAGGAUAAUCCUACAGGGCUUCUUUCGAUGACAUUUGUAAAAGCUCUUCAGAUUUUCCAAAAAAGUUACAUACCAUCUAUAUAUUAAUUACUAAAACACAGCAAGGGAUCAAAUUUCCCCCUUAAACAUAUAUAAGUACUUGGCUUGGAGAGCCCAAAAUAUAAAAAUCCAAAACCAUAAACUAGGAGAUAGUAUUUCACAUUAUAAGGAAUUUUUUAUUUUAUAGGGAGGCUCACCAGAGGAAUCUUUCUUUAAGAGGUUUAAUGAUCUAUAAGUAAGCACUUAAAUUUAAUGAGAAUGGCUUAUUAUUUUGCAGGUAAAAUAUAGAAAAGAAAAUUUUAAAGUAGUGGUGUUAGUAGCUAUUGACGAUUGGUAAAGUCAAUCAAAUUAGAGUUGAAUGGAUAUGUGUGAGACUUACAUACAGCUUUUUUUCAAUGGUUUAUACUACCUUAAUGAGGCAAAAUUUUAUUUAUGAAAGUGAAAGGCAAGAAUUCAAGAUCUCAAAGGGAAAUAGUAAUUUAUCCUUUCAAAAUCACAAAUGCGUGUUGGGAAUGCUCUAAGUAGUUUAAAACUUCCUAGCUUUUCCUGAAAUUCAUAAAUCAGAUUACUUUGAUCUAGGAGUACAAAAUAAACGGAGAUUGGAAAAGGAGGCACAUUUUUAUUUAGCUUACCUAUCUAAAAGCAUACCCAUCCCAAAAUUCCAUAAUUUCUUGGAAAUGUUUCAGUAAUUCUUGAACAUCUUUGAGGAAGUUGGUUGUUAAAAUAAACUUUAUUUUAAGGACAAAUUUACGUACAAAACACUUGGAGAAAACGAAAAGCUGUGUCUCAGAAGAAAUGAAGCAAUAAAUAUUUGAGCCUUAUAAGACUAUUUUUAGUACAGUGGGGAAUCUUGGGAGAGAGAGAGAGAGAAGGCGAGAGACAAACAGAGGCAGAGAGAGAAACGAGGGGAAGGAGGGGGAGAGAGAGGGAAAGAAUAACAUCAGAGUGCCAGCAUAACACGUUAAAAUGCACCUAUCUAUUUGUUUAGUCAUGGAAGCAACAUGCCCAAAAUACGGAAUUUAAGACAUGAAAAUGUGCAUCGUGUAACGUCUCCCCCCACCUUUCCUCAUCUACGUGGCUCUCUCUGCCAUCCCCUUCUCCAGGCGUGGUGCCUCGAAGAUUUCACUUUUAAGCAUGAAAUUGGAUUUAGAGUGAGCUAGAUGUCUUUUACCAUAUUCAGUAAGUAUCAAUUUAUGAAUAUGCAGACGAAUUUUAGCAACAAUAAUUAUGGGGUUUUUAUAAUAGAAGAAAUAAUCAAAUACAAUUUUCUUUAAUGUGACCAAUUUUAUAAAUUUUACUGUUCUUUCCCAUCCUUUUAGUUAUACUAUUUUGUAUCACUAUUUUAGCCAUCUUUUUUAUUAUUAAUAGUUGAAUAAAGAGGUGCUGAAUGUUCUCGGACUUGAUAGUAUCAAGCGAUUCCUGGCGUGAAGCAAGACCUGGAAUGGCCAGACAGUCUUCCAGGUUUUAGAGUUUUUCACAAUCUGAAGACUCAUUUUUUCUCUCACAGAGGAUGACUGCUUUCUGCAAAUAUGACUUCUCUGUGUAGUUCUUUGGGUCACCCAGCCCUCCCUGAAUCAAAGUGCUGGAACCCACCUCCCUGCUCACCCAAGUUUCUUCAACAUUAUUGAAAUAUAGAUACUCUCCUGACCCUUCUCCCCGUGUGUGUGUGUGUGUGUGUGUGUGUGUUGCUCGCACUUUCUUGGAGUUGCCAGUUCUGGAACGUCUCAUUAUUUCUCCUCUAUUUCUCCUCUUCAUGUCUUUAUCCAUGACUUUCAAACAUUUCGCUCUUAAGCGUAUUUUUCCCCUGAAGAGUAUGUCUCAUGUUUGGAUGAAAAUAAUCCUUUGAGUCAGAGAGGGGAGAGGGUAAGAUUUUUUUUUCUUAUUGAUUUUUUACAAUAUUCAAGAAUAAACAGAAAAAAAAUCUGUUUACAGCAGCCAUGCUCAUAUACCAGAAAUCUCAUUUUUCAUUGAAUUAGAAUUAAGUUUAGGUUAAUUUUUCGACCUAUUGAAUCUCAUUUUUAAAAUCUAGAAGCCAGUUUUUCUCCGACUUUCUAGAGAAUUAAUUUCGAUCCAAUACACACAUGAUUUGGUUCUUUCACAUUCAUUAGUUGCCAAGAGAUGUCUGAAAUGGCACCAAAAAAGCAAGACACUGACUUUCUUCCUUGUUUAUUUGGACCUCAGUUUUUAGUUAAUUCUCCUGAAACCACAGAAUUAACUCAUCCUGAAUAGCACUCUAAUUAUGCAGACUUAUUUAGAAUUUAAAGUAAAUACUUUCCUCAAAUACUGAACAGACCAGGGAGUAAGGAGACCUCAUGUUAAUCCUUUCUCUGCUAUUCAUUUGCUCUAAGAAUAUAAUAAAGUGAUUUAACAUCUGUGCCUAAAACUUAUCAGUCAAAUGAAAAUGGAUAAAUGUAGGCAAUGCAUAUUGAAGUAUUAUAAUAACCUAAAAACCUUGUAUUAAUAACUCAAAACUGGCUUCAAGAUAGGGAGUUUUAUUUUCCAUGUAUAAAUUUUUAAAAAGUCCUAAUCCAGCAAAUUGGUCAUGCACAUAUUAAAAUAGUGUGCAAAUGUACACGUUUAUUUCCACAACUGGCACAAAUAUAACACACCUGGCACAUAGAUAGGGACAGUAUCCUUUAUUUCUUAUAAUCUAAUUGCAAGUUGGGGGCUUGGCUGGGAAGAGAGGGUGUUGCUAAAGCUUGAAAGGAAAAAAAAACUCAUUCUCUUUCAUGUCUUUUUACUACCUCAUAAUAUGAUUAUUCCACAUAGCUCUGACCAGCUCUCUUCUCUUUCAACAUUAAUGAAUCUGAAUAUUUUGGCAGUGGCUGAGAUAUUUGAGAAUCCAAAGAAUUUGUGAAGAAAGUAUAAAAUGCAUUUGAAAAGCUAUGUGGAAGUGGGGCCAUGUGCAUGUGGGUAGGAUGAUAGCAGUGAUGAUAACAGUUACAGCUGAUAUUAUCGAUCGUUGUGUGCUGAGGGCUUUAUAUUCCUGUUUCUUCCAAAGACCUGCUGAGGCUGAUACUAAGAAGGCUAAAGGAAGAGGUGGGCGGGGAGGUGAAAAAGCAAAGGAGAGUGUCUUCAUCAGUGUGGGCUGCUAUAACAAAAGUACUAUAGACUGGGUGGCUUACAAUCAACAUAAAUUUCUCAUAGUUCUGCAGGCUGGGAAGUCCAAGAUCAAAGUGCUGGCAGAUGUCUGGUGAAUGCUUCCUGAUUCAUAGAUGAGUGUCUUUUUGCUGUGUCUUCAAAUGGUGGAAAGGAGUGGGAGCUCUGUGGAGUGUCUUUUAUAAGGAGUACUAAUCUCAUUCAUGAGGGCUCCACCCUCAUGAUCUAAUCACCUCCCAGAGGCCCAACAUGCUAACACCAUCUCAAUGGGUGUUGGGAUUCAACCUAUAAAUUUUGAGGAGGGAACAAACAUUCAGUCUAUUGCAAGACAUAUUGUCAUAUUUGUGAAAAAGGAAUGAAAGAGACAAGAAGUGCAAGGUGAGGCAGAAAGAGCAGAGAACACCGGGUUGAUAUGCUAUUUACAUAGCAUAAUAAAGUCAGCACAAAGCAUUUGGGUUGAUGAAAUGACUCCCCAAACCGGUCACCACCGGCUGGUCUUUGAUCUUCCUGACAGGAGCAGGUGUGAGAGGGAGAGGGGUAUUUGUGGGGAGUAGACGAUGGAAGACUCUAAUAUUCCUAUCAAUUAUUAUUAUAAACAUUUUCAAAGUUAUUGCUAAGAAUUAUAGGUAUACUAAAUUGGUACAUAAAGAAUUUAUAAUUUUUUCAAUGGCUUUUUUCUAAUUUUUAGAACCAUAACCCUGAUCUAUCUAAAGGAUUUUUUUGUUUUUUUUUUUUGUGGGACUCAUAUUAAUUAAGAAGUAUGCCAUUCAAUGGAAAAAAUUA